rnacentral:rRNA from 1 species
UGAACGCGAAGAACCUUACCUAGGCUUGACAUAUACCGAAAACCUGCAGAGAUGUAGGGUCCGCAAGGGCGGUAUACAGGUGGUGCAUGGUUGUCGUCAGCUCGUGUCGUGAGAUGUUGGGUUAAGUCCCGCAACGAGCGCAACCCUCGUCCUAUGUUGCCAGCGGAUAAUGCCGGGGACUCAUAGGAGACUGCCGGGGUCAACUCGGAGGAAGGUGGGGAUGACGUCAAAUCAUCAUGCCCCUUAUGUCUAGGGCUGCACGCAUGCUACAAUGGUCGGUACAAAGGGCUGCGAUACCACGAGGUGGAGCGAAUCCCAAAAAGCCGGCCUCAGUUCGGAUUGUUUGUCUGCAACUCGACCCCAUGAAGUCGGAGUCGCUAGUAAUCGCAGAUCAGCAAAGGCUGCGGUGAAUACGUUCCCGGGUCUUGUACACACGCA